rnacentral:tRNA from 1 species
GAGGAAAAUCCGUCGACUUUCAAAAUCGUGAGGGUUCAAGUCCCUCUAUCCCCAAAAGUUUUUUUCACUCCCUAUUCUCUUUUUUUUCAUUAAUGGUUUGGAAGUGAUUCUGGUCCUCAUUUUUCUUUAUGGAGCGGGACGGAAAUGUUUUUCUCUUAUUACAAGUCUUGUGAUAUAUCUCAUAUACGUACAAAUGAAUAUCUUCGAGCAAGGAGUACUCAUUUAAGCGAUUUACAAUCCAUACCAUUACUCGUACUAAAAUAGACAAAGCCCCUCUUUUUGAAGACCCAAGAAAUUCCGGCACCUAGAUAAUAUUUUGUAAUAUUUUUCAUCCUUUUUUUAAUUGACAUAAACCCAAGUUAUCUAGUAAAAUGAGGAGAUGGUGCACCAGAAAGGGGAAUGGUCAGGAUAG